rnacentral:lncRNA from 1 species
CUUUUGCAGAAGAAAUUUGUUCAGCACCUUGAAUCUGAACUUGGACUUUCAAGGUUGUGGGCAAAUUGGGGUCUUGGAGAGAAAGAUUGAAAUUGGGAUAGAAAGUGAGUAAAACACUUCCUGCAUGAAGGGUUGUGAGGACAGUACCGAUAACAGCAUCUUGGUACUGUUUAAACCGGGUAUCAAGCAUAGCAAGUCGAGCGGUAACCGGUAAUCCUUUUCUCCCAUGAAGGGUAAGGAUUAAUCUGAUGCCGCCAAGAUGGAGAUGAGUAUAACCUUCUCGUUUCCAGUUGGAGAGCAACUCGGAGGGAAUCUCCAGAGUGACAUAUUGCUCAGCAGAGGUGGCUUGAAGAGCACACUGAUCCAGGCGGGAAGACUGGAUGUAUUCUUUAGGGUGAGGGCGUCUGGUAGAGAUAAGGGUGCGGAUACUGCGGGUAAAGGAGCUAGGUCGUUUAUACAACUGAUAAGGGCUGAGGAGAGGGUAAGAAGAUUCACUGAUUUGGGCGGAUUCAGGGAUGUAGGAGUAUUCUAGAGGAAGGAUGAAGAGGGGGAGGUCGAGGCUGCGGUCUAGGUUUGGGUUUAGGUUUAGGUGGCGGUGGCAAAGGAUUGUCUCUGAAAAGAGUAUGAGUCAUGCCAAAUAACUUGGAAGGGUCAUAUUGUUUAAUAGGAGAGAGCAUAGAGGCAAAAGGAUGGUAAGUUGGACCGAUAGAAGGAAUAAGAGGUGAACUGGUGAAAAGGGUAGGUCUCUGUUUUUCAGAUUCAAUCUGAGCAAGUUCAGCUUUUAAUCGCCUGAUUUCCCUUUCCUUUUGGUCAAAUUCGGGACCAUUGUAUCUGUGGGCUAGCAUGGCUCGUAACUCUGAAUCGAGUUGGCCAAUUCUGGACUGGAGAUUUUGGUGGAUCUGCUGCAUCUGUGCAGAGAUGGAGUCAACCUUUGUCUCAAGCUGUUCAGUUCGUAAACUGAUUUUCUCAACUUUGGAAUUGAUAUUGACCAAAGUAUCAUUCUGUGCUCUAGCAUUUUGGGUUUGCCAGUUGAGGACUGAUUCAAAAGGUUUGGGAGGUUCUAGGUGGCCAGUGGAGGUAAUAGGUGAAGGGAUAAAGGGUUUGGACACAACAUUUCGUUGAGAAUCUGUAUGGGGUUCCAAAGGAGGAAAGGAAGAAGAGUAAUCUGAAGAAGUAGAAGAAAACAUCAUACAAGCCAGUGGUUGGACGAUAGGUGUUGGGUGUGAGAGUGGUGAUGGAAUCUCAGAUUUGCAAUGUUUGGCAAUCCAUGUGAGUUCUUUUCGGUAGAUGGGUAAUGGAGCCGGUGGAGGUGGAGGAUCUGAUGGUGGUUUAGGGUCACAGUGGUGACAUGGAACAGGAGGUUUUUUCUUUUUGGGUUUCUUUUUCCUUGUGGUUGCGUAAUCAUCGUCUUCUUCCCAAUCAUCCCAGCAGGGACAAUUUGGGUCACACAUGCCGGAACCAGGGGCAUCCCAUAGGAAAUGGCCAUUGUGUUUGGCUGGAUAAACAGGGUAGCCUUGAGAAUUAAACCCUGUAAUGGGCAGAUCUUCCUGCGCUGUCUGAACAGCUGUGAUCAUUGAAGAAUAGGUAAAGGAGAGCCUAGGAGGCUCGUGUGGAGCACUGGGGGGUGGUUUAAAAGUCAUUCUGACUGUUCCAUCAUGUCGUCUUUCAAACAUGCCUUCAGAGGUCUGAAUUGGAGCUGUAUUGUUGUGGAACUGUUCAUAGUUGGAGAUCCAUUCAAGAGGCAUAAGCUUGAUGAGCUCAUGACGGGGAAUUUGUCGGGGAAUCUGGAUGAUUGUCGGGAUCUGGUCAGAUUCUGCUAACACCAUGAGGGUGUCAGAGUGGUGUUCUGGAGCGGGUAGAUCUAAGGCAUGAUUUUGAAGCCUGUAGACCAGUUGGUGAUGUAAAGUGGCAACUUUUGCAGAAGAAAUUUGUUCAGCACCUUGAAUCUGAACUUGGACUUUCAAGGUUGUGGGCAAAUUGGGGUCUUGGAGAGAAAGAUUGAAAUUGGGAUAGAAAGUGAGUAAAACACUUCCUGCAUGAAGGGUUGUGAGGACAGUACCGAUAACAGCAUCUUGGUACUGUUUAAACCGGGUAUCAAGCAUAGCAAGUCGAGCGGUAACCGGUAAUCCUUUUCUCCCAUGAAGGGUAAGGAUUAAUCUGAUGCCGCCAAGAUGGAGAUGAGUAUAACCUUCUCGUUUCCAGUUGGAGAGCAACUCGGAGGGAAUCUCCAGAGUGACAUAUUGUUCAGCAGAGGUGGCUUGAAGAGCACACUGAUCCAGGCGGGAAGACUGGAUGUAUUCUUUAGGGUGAGGGCGUCUGGUAGAGAUAAGGGUGCGGAUACUGCGGGUAAAGGAGCUAGGUCGUUUAUACAACUGAUAAGGGCUGAGGAGAGGGUAAGAAGAUUCACUGAUUUGGGCGGAUUCAGGGAUGUAGGAGUAUUCUACAAGAUUUUCAAUUUUAUUAGUAGUAUGAGAAGUGCAAGAUUUCGGUAAAGAAAGAGUGGAAGAAAGAGUAACAGGAGGUGAAGAGGAAGUGGAUGCCAUGAAGGAGAAGUUCUCUCUGCGCCUGAAGUUCUAGAGAUCAAAAUAGAAAAAGCCUUAAAUUAUACCAUUUUGGUCAAGAAAACGUGAAUUUAGAAAACAUGAAAUUUUCAAGGAUGGGUAUGGCUCUGAUACCAGUUAUGGUGAAGUACGUGGCGUUGUUAUACCAGAACUACAACAGUUAAAACUGUUCUUUGGACCAGUAGUCCUCCAUGCUUGCUGCAUUGCGGCCCUUAGUCCCUCCCGUGGCACACUACGUGUUUGAAGGAUUUUCCCCACGAGACAGUGGGCUACAAGCCUUUCCCCCCUCACUUUCAUGUUCCUCCCAAAACUGAUCAUAUUAUCUUCUUCUGAUUGUAGCGUUAUGGCUUCACACUUGCGUAUAAGCUCUUCUGCAUCCAUUGUUUCCCUCUUUAAAGCUCUGAUUGUAGUAAUAAUUGGACUUAUCGUCUUCUCACUGACUAUCUUUUCUUCAUCACUUAUACCCUUCCUCUCUAUUUAAAGCCUCCAACUAUCUCUUUCUGUUCCUUAAGAGAGCCCUUUUUUUCAUGGUUGAAAUUUUACACCCAACCUGUAGGUGACAAAUGCGGAUCCAGUACAGAUCCCUGUAUGAUUCCUAUCUGGGUUUCCUUCCUCGGAGGGAAGGGAUAGAGCCCAGAGGAAAAGUUUAACGUUUUCUAAUAAAUAGCAUUUUCUUGUGUACUUUUAUUGAUUUGAUACGUUUUUUCCCCCUUUUGUACUUGGUGCUUUGGAUUUUUUUAAUUCAACAUUUUUAAUAUUAAAAUAUUAUUUUGUAACAACUGAGUUUUGUCCUUAAUUAUAAAAUUUUUGCUGUAUACAAAAAAUUUCCAGGAUAAGGCACUUGUGAAUUACAAUAUUGAGAUAUGAUGCAGUUUUUACAGUAAAAAAACUAGGGAAAUAAUAUAAUAAGAUGAGCAUAGUAAUUUAU